AUCACACCCAGCUCCUGCCUCAUAAUCCUCACAGCUUCCUGUGAGUUAAUACCUGAUUUGGAAAAUAAAGUCUGGAGAGCAUCAUGUGCUGAGCAGCAGAAGUUUGCAUGCCCGCAUCCCAUCUCACUCCAGUCCCCAGCUCCCUGGGGGCAAGGGACACUGAGAAAUUGGGACCAUUUUUGCAUAGGCCACUGGAUGCAACCUGAGACGAGGUGACAGAGGUGGCAUUUGAGAGGGCAUGAUGCAAGCCCAGCCCAAGCAAGACGACACCGUCCAGCAGUCUGGAUGCUGUGUAUGACCCUACCUUUUUUUUUUCUUUAUGAACCGUCUCCACUCCAGUACAGAACGUCCUCUGACUUCUGAAGUAUUUGUAGUAUUUCCACGCCCUCAGUUGCCAAAAAAACUUCUAUUAAAAGCCACUCUUUUUUUU